rnacentral:sRNA from 1 species
GCAGGGCAUGGUGGUGCAUGCCUGAAAUCCCAGCAACUCAGGAGGCUGAGGCAAGAGGAUCACAAGUUCAAAGCCAGCCUCAGCAACUUAGUGAGACCCCAAGCAACUUGGUGAGACCCUGUCUCUA